AGUGGUGUUUCAGCAGGUGUCUUAUUCCCUAGUUCCUCCUCUCCAGCUCCCCGGCCUUCCUGUCCUCUACAACAGCCUGGACGCCGAAGCGCAGAGCUCCCGUGUGGCGUGAAACUGGACAGAUGAGCGGUCAGUUCGAAGCCGGUCUCACCUCGCCGUCCCAGGUGCCCACCGUCUCUCCGGCCGGCUGUCCUGACUGGAGCGUUUCCUCUCCCGGGGCUCCAGACUGUGGGCCGCCGGAGCGUUACGACUAUACUGUUUUGUUCCAAUUUUGCAAUAAAUUGGUGUCCUUGGAUUUUCUUAAAUCAAUUUGUGAAUUUCGGUGUUGGGUUCGGGUAUUUUAGUGGUGUCGCUUCAUGUAGAAAGAACGAGUCAACGUUUCCUUUGCCAGUCCAGGCUGCUCAGAGUGCCUGUCAGUCAUUAAUUUAGGGUGCUUCAUCUUUGUCCACUGUAGUUGUUGCACAAGGUUUUUUCCUCCACCUUGCCUGUAAAACUCCACCUGUUGCUUGAAUAUACUCAAAGCUAUGCAGCCUGUGGACAAGCAAUUGCUUGAUAACACAAUGAACUUCCACUAUUACCUUUGGUAAAAUCUCCCAUUUAAGCAGCAGAAUCCAACUCAAAAGGUCUUCACAACAAUAUUCAUUUAACACUACUUCAGGGGCAAAUAGAGAUCAAUUGUAAAUCAACCUUCAUGUCUAUCCAGUUUUCCAAGAAAUCUGGAUAGUACCUACAGCAUGGACAAGAAACUGGAGGUUUACUCGGGAGGGAACAAAUUUCAUAAGGAAAACCAUUCUUUGUUUGCUUACAAAACUAGUUUACAUUUCCUUUUUCAUUAAAUAAAACAAACUGAUUCUUUGACAUGCAAGAGACAGAUACAAAGUUACUCCAGGUGCAGAGCUAUGUUACUGAGAAUUAAACAUCAAAAUUGUUUUUCUAACAAAUCUUUUCAUAUAAACAUUUAAGAAAUUAGGAACAUAAAUAUUUAUUCCGCUGAAAGAGAAACCCUGCAUCAUAACUUCCUCUUAAUGACAUAAGAACCUGCUGUUCAGAAUGACCUCUCAUGCUGGUGAGGCUGUAGACUGUGUUGAGUGUCCAGGUGGUCCUCAUGAUCCCCCCCCCCAGCUCAAGGACUCAGGGGAAAGGCCUGUGAUCAUCAGCACUGUUGAGAGUUGAGAAAUACAAUCAUCCCAUCAAUCAAUCAAUGCAGGGCACUAAUAUAUACUGUAUA
rnacentral:lncRNA from 1 species